rnacentral:tRNA from 1 species
GUUUGUGUAGCUCAGUGGUAGGGCACUUGCCUACCAUGCAUGAGACCCUGGGUUCAAUCUCCAGCACCAAAA